rnacentral:rRNA from 1 species
UUCUGGGCGUAAGCGCACGCAGGCGGUCUGUCAAGUCGGAUGUGAAAUCCCCGGGCUUAACCUGGGAACUGCAUUCGAAACUGGCAGGCUAGAGUCUUGUAGAGGGGGGUAGAAUUCCAGGUGUAGCGGUGAAAUGCGUAGAGAUCUGGAGGAAUACCGGUGGCGAAGGCGGCCCCCUGGACAAAGACUGACGCUCAGGUGCGAAAGCGUGGGGAGCAAACAGGAUUAGAUACCCUGGUAGUCCACGCCGUAAACGAUGUCGACUUGGAGGUUGUUCCCUUGAGGAGUGGCUUCCGGAGCUAACGCGUUAAGUCGACCGCCUGGGGAGUACGGCCGCAAGGUUAAAACUCAAAUGAAU